GACGAACGCUGGCGGCGUGCCUAACACAUGCAAGUCGAACGGAAAGGCCCUGCUCUUGUGGGGUGCUCGAGUGGCGAACGGGUGAGUAACACGCGAGUAACAUGCACCUGACUUUGGGAUAACUUCAGGAAACUCGGGCUAAUACCCGAUAGGAGCUCCUGCUGCACGGGGUGGGUUGGAAAGAUUCGGCGGUUCGGGCUGGACUCGAAGGUUAUCAGCUGGUUGGUCGGGUAGUGGCUUACCAAGGCUUUGACGGGUAGCCGGCCUGAGAGGGUGACCGGCCACAUUGUGACUGAGGGACGGCCCAGACUCGUACGGGAGGCAAUAGUGGAAAACAUUGCGCAAUGGGCGGGAGCGUGAUGCGGCAACGCCGCGUUCGGGAUGACGGCCUUUGAGUUGUAAACCGCUUUCGCCUGUGACGAAGCGUGAUUGACGGUAAUGGGUAAGGAAGCACCGGCUAACUACGUG
rnacentral:rRNA from 1 species